UACGGAGGGGGCAAGCGUUAUUCGGAAUCAUUGGGCGUAAAGGGCGCGUAGGCGGCUUGGCAAGUCAAAGGUGAAAUCCCUCGGCCUAACCGAGGAACUGCCUUUGAAACUGCUUGGCUUGAGGCCGGGAGAGGGUAGCGGAAUUCCCAGUGUAGCGGUGAAAUGCGUAGAUAUCUGGAGGAACACCGGUGGCGAAGGCGGCAUCCUGGACCAUUACUGACACUGAAAAGCGAAAGCCAGGGGAGCAAACGGG
rnacentral:rRNA from 1 species